rnacentral:lncRNA from 1 species
AAAACUAAAACUAAAGUAAUUCUGGAAAAACCAACAUAUAAUGUGUUAAAAGGGAUGAAAGUCACCAUUUAAAAAGUCAAGAAAGCAACAUAUAUCCAAACAUUUAUUACCAAUUAAUAAGAAAAAUUAUAGGUGAAACAAAAGGAAAAAUGGGAAAAGUAUAUGAACAGGUAAUAAAAUAAACACUUAAAAACGUUCUCAUCCCAUAGCUGUUGGGGUAAUGCCAAUUAAAAGAACACUGUGAAAACCAAUUUUUCACCUAAUGAUUGGCAAAAAUGAAAAAGAGUUCUAGUGAAUUACCUACUACUAUCAAGUUUCUUUUACAAUAGUGAUGAACACGACUAUUCUGGGAAGGUAUAAUCUAGUAAAUAUAGAGGUAUACACGUGUGGGGUCUUCAUUUGUCAGAGGCAUCAGAUGGGAGAAUCAGCCCACCAAAAUCAAAAGAACUUUAUGUCAUGAAUUCUAUAAGUUGGAUACUCCGAAUGAGUACUGUGUGGGACUUCCUUUCUUUUAAAAUGUGCAUCUCAUUUCUGGGUUGUGUGAGAAGCCGACUCUGAGACAGAGACUAGCAUGUGGGAAGGUUAUUAGGGACUGUCCAACCAUGGUAGUCUCAGGGAAGCUGUAGCAUAGACCCUAUGGGCAGGUCUAAAGAUGGGGUGACCCUGCAGAACUGUCCUGAGUUGAAACCAGAGAACCUGGCAUUUAUACCCUUGUAUCAAGCAGGGAUAUGACUUGACCUUGAGGAGGGGACUUUUCAUGCAGCUGAGGCAUCUCCCCAAUGGCUGACUGCUGGGGCUGGCCUCCAUGUCACUUUCAGAAGCUGGGGGACAAGGUCUUUAGUUUUGGAAAAAGGAUCUGGGGCUGCAUCAUAGGGUCCACUACAAAAUAUGCGCUUGAAUGGCUUUUCUUUUUUCUUUUUUUUGGAGGCAGAGUCUCCCUCUGUCGCCCAGGCUGGAGUGCAGUUGUGCAGUCACAGCUCACUGCAGACUUGACCUCCUGGGCUCAAGUGAUCCUCCCACCUCAGCCCCCCAAGUAGCUGGGACUACAGGUGUGUGCCACAACACCUGGCUAAUUUUUGUAUUUUUUGUAAAGAUGGGUUUUUGCCAUGUUGCCCAGGCUGGUCUUGAACUCCUGGGCUCAAGCAAUCCUCCCACCUCGAAAUUCCAAAGUGCUAGGAUUACACUAUGCCUGACCUUGAAUGGCUUUUCAAACUUCUGGAAAGACAGUGGACCUUGGGUGAUAUUUGUGUGUAAAGAAGCUGAUGAAGCUGAUGCACUGCGGGCUGAGGUGGAGGGGUAACCCACUUUCUUAUUUUUCCCUGGGUGCAAAUUCUUUAGAAAACAGCCAAAGUCAUAAUAAAAGGGGAGUACUGAUGAAGAUGUGGGAAGACUGACAUUUUCGUAUUUUGCUUUUGGUGGGGGUUGGAUUUCUAAUUUCAGAAAGUAAUUUGGUAAUAUCUAUUUUAAAAAGAACACAUCACCAUUUCCAAGCAAUUCCAUUUUUGUAGAUUUUCUUCAGAAAAGAAAGGUCCCUUGUGUAAGGAUGUAUCUAUAAAAAUGCUUAAUCCAGUAAUGUGUGUAGUAGCCAAGACAUAAAUCAAAUAAACCACAACACAGCAGAAAAUAAUUGGAGUAUUCAUUAAAUCGGAAAUAAUGGAAUAAAAUAUCAAGUUCACACUACACACUGGGAUGUAGCUACUUAAAAAGAGUUUGAUCUGUAUGCAUUGACUUGCAGGAGUUAAAUGGAAAAAGUAGGAUGUAGAGUCAUAUGUGUAGAUAACCCUGUUUUAAAGAAAAUAAAACUAUAGACAUUUAAGGAACGAUAAAUAUCAACAUUUGUUUCAGUUGCCACAAGCGUGAGUUACUUUACUGAUUAAAAAUUGAUAAGAAAAAAUUAAGGCUGGGCACAGUGGCUCAACGCCUGUAAUCUCGGCACUUUGGGAGGCCCGAGGCGGGUGGAUCACCUGAGGUUUGGAGUUCGAGACCAGCCUGACCAACAUGGCGAAACCUCACCUCUACUGAAAAAAAAAAAUAGCCAGGCAUGGUGGUGGGUGCCUGUAAUCCCAACUACUUGGGAGGCUGAGGCAGGAGAAUCGCUUGAACAUGGGAGGCGGAGCUUGCAGUGAGCCGAGAUCGCGCCACUGCACUCCAUCCUGGGCGACAGAGUGAGACUCCGUCUCAAAAAAAAAAAAAAGAAUGCCAAAGCCCAGGCUACAAUCUCUGGGGUGGGACCCAGUAUCGUUGAAGCUCCCUAGGUGACUUCACUGUGCAUACA